GCAUCUGCUCUCCCUUUUUUUGCCUGCCCUGACCUUAGCAUUUUCAGGUUUCCAGUUUCCAAAGCUGAUGUGAUUUCCCAGCUGGAACAAGGGGAAGAGUCAUGGGUCUCAGAGCUCCAGGGUUCAGAGGAAAGACAGAUCCUGAGAGCUCCCUGCAAAGCAGGUGAUGCAAUGGCAUGUGAGAAAGAGGAGCAGAAUUCUCAGCAGGAAGAUGCUGGGCAAGUGGAUAAACACAGAGCACUAU